UCCGGUUUGUCACCGGCAGUCUCCCUAGAGUUCCCAUCCGAAAUGCUGGCAACUAGGGACAAGGGUUGCGCUCGUUGCGGGACUUAACCCAACGUCCCACGACACGAGCUGACGACAGCCAUGCAGCACCUGUAUCUCGGUUCCCGAAGGCACCAAUCCAUCUCUGGAAAGUUCCGAGUAUGUCAAGGGCAGGUAAGGUGGGGAUGACGUUGGUCAGUCAA
rnacentral:misc_RNA from 1 species